AGAGUUUGAUCCUGGCUCAGGAUUAACGCUAGCGGCAGGCCUAAUACAUGCAAGUCGAACGGUAACAGGUGUAGCAAUACAUGCUGACGAGUGGCGCACGGGUGCGUAACACGUAUGUAAUCUGCCUUUAACUGGGGGAUAACUCCUCGAAAGAGGAGCUAAUACCGCAUAACAUCACUGGACGGCAUCGCCUGGUGAGCAAACCUACGGGGGUUAAAGAUGAACAUGCGUCUGAUUAGUUAGUUGGCGGGGUAACGGCCCACCAAGACGGCGAUCAGUAGGGGAUCUGAGAGGAUGAUCCCCCACACGGGUACUGAGACACGGACCCGACUCCUACGGGAGGCAGCAGUAAGGAAUAUUGGACAAUGGAGGCAACUCUGAUCCAGCCAUGCCGCGUGAAGGAUGAAUGCGCUAUGCGUUGUAAACUUCUUUUAUACGGGAAAAAUAUCCGCUAUUCUUAGCGGAUUGAUUGUACUGUAAGAAUAAGGGUCGGCUAACUUCGUGCCAGCAGCCGCGGUAAUACGAAGGACCCGAGCGUUAUCCGGAUUUAUUGGGUUUAAAGGGUGCGUAGGCGUCCUGGAAAGUUACGGUUGAAAUCUCCUUGCUUAACAAGGAAACUGGCCGUAAAACUAUCAGGAUUGAGUACAUUUGAAGCGGGCGGAAUGUGUCAUGUAGCGGUGAAAUGCUUAGAUAUGACACAGAACACCAAUUGCGAAGGCAGCUCGCUAAACUGUAACUGACGCUGAGGCACGAAAGCGUGGGGAUCAAACAGGAUUAGAUACCCUGGUAGUCCACGCCCUAAACGAUGAUUACUCGAUGUGUGCGAUACACUGUACGCGUCUGAGCGAAAGCAUUAAGUAAUCCACCUGGGGAGUACGAUCGCAAGAUUGAAACUCAAAGGAAUUGACGGGGGCCCGCACAAGCGGAGGAGCAUGUGGUUUAAUUCGAUGAUACGCGAGGAACCUUACCUGGGCUUGAAAGUUAGUGAAGCAAGCAGAAACGUUUGCGUCAGCAAUGACACGAAACUAGGUGCUGCAUGGCUGUCGUCAGCUCGUGCCGUGAGGUGUUGGGUUAAGUCCCGCAACGAGCGCAACCCCUAUCUUUAGUUGCCAUCAGGUAAUGCUGGGGACUCUAAAGAGACUGCCCGCGUAAGCGUGGAGGAAGGUGGGGAUGACGUCAAGUCAUCACGGCCCUUACGUCCAGGGCUACACACGUGCUACAAUGGCCGGUACAAUGGGCAGCCACAUGGCAACAUGGAGCUAAUCCUAUAAAGCCGGUCUCAGUUCGGAUUGAGGUCUGCAACUCGACCUUAUGAAGCUGGAUUCGCUAGUAAUCGUAGAUCAGCAAUGCUACGGUGAAUACGUUCCCGGGCCUUGUACACACCGCCCGUCAAGCCAUGGAAGUUGGGAGUACCUGAAGUCGGUGACCGCAAGGAGCCGCCCAGGGUAAAACCAAUGACUGGGGCUAAGUCGUAACAAGGUAGCCGUACCGGAAGGUGCGGCUG
rnacentral:rRNA from 1 species